rnacentral:rRNA from 1 species
CAGUAGCCGCGGUAAGACAGAGGAUGCAAGCGUUAUCCGGAAUGAUUGGGCGUAAAGCGUCUGUAGGUGGCUUUUCAAGUCCGCCGUCAAAUCCCAGGGCUCAACCCUGGACAGGCGGUGGAAACUACCAAGCUGGAGUACGGUAGGGGCAGAGGGAAUUUCCAGUGGAGCGGUGAAAUGCGUUGAGAUCGAAAAGAACACCAACAGCGAAAGCACUCUGCUGGGACGACACUGACACUAAGAGACGAAAGCUAGGGGAGCAAAUGGGAUUAGAUACCCCCGUAGUCCCUGUCUCUUAUAC